rnacentral:rRNA from 1 species
UACGUAGGUGGCAAGCGUUGUCCGGAAUUAUUGGGCGCAAAGCGUGCGCAGGCGGUUUGUUAAGUCUGAUGUGAAAGCCCCGGGCUCAACCUGGGAACUGCAUUGGAAACUGGCAAGCUCGAGUUUGGCAGAGGGGGGUGGAAUUCCGCGUGUAGCAGUGAAAUGCGUAGAGAUGCGGAGGAACACCGAUGGCGAAGGCAGCCCCCUGGGCUAAGACUGACGCUCAGGCACGAAAGCGUGGGGAGCAAACAGG